rnacentral:rRNA from 1 species
GCUUACGGCCACACCACCCUGAGCGCGCCCGAUCUCGUCUGAUCUCGAAGCUAAGCAGGGUCGGGCCUAGUUAGUACUUGGAUGGGAGACCGCCUGGGAAUACCAUGCCGUAAUGU